rnacentral:misc_RNA from 1 species
AUGCACCAGCCGCCGGAGUCCA